AUCGCUUCUCGGCCUUUUGGCUAAGAUCAAGGGUAGUAUAUACUAUUUCUGUUUAAAAAAAAAUCAAAAUCUUGUAUUUUGGUAUAAAAGUGCUGAGCAUUCUUU
rnacentral:snRNA from 1 species